rnacentral:rRNA from 1 species
ACGGAGGGUGCUAGCGUUGUUCGGAAUUACUGGGCGUAAAGCGCGUGUAGGCGGAUUCGGAAGUCGGGUGUGAAAGCCCUGGGCUCAACCCAGGAAGUGCGCCCGAAACCACGAGUCUUGAGGUCCGGAGGGGAUCGGGGAAUUCCCAGUGUGGGGGGGAAAGUCGUGGUGAUGGGGAGGAGCAGCGGAGGCGUAGGUGCCGAACUGGACGGGUUCUGUUUCUGCGCCGCGCAAGCGUCUGUAGCAAACAG